rnacentral:rRNA from 1 species
UUAAGCGACUAAGCGUACACGGUGGAUGCCCUGGCAGUCAGAGGCGAUGAAGGACGUGCUAAUCUGCGAAAAGCGUCGGUAAGGUGAUAUGAACCGUUACAGCCGGCGAUGUCCGAAUGGGGAAACCCAGUGUGAUUCGUCACACUAUCGUUAACUGAAUACAUAGGUUAACGAGGCGAACCGGGGGAACUGAAACAUCUAAGUACCCCGAGGAAAAGAAAUCAACCGAGAUUCCCCCAGUAGCGGCGAGCGAACGGGGAGCAGCCCAGAGUCUGAAUCAGCUUGUGUGUUAGUGGAACGGUCUGGAAAGUCCGACGGUACAGGGUGAUAGUCCCGUACACCAAAAUGCACAGGCUGUGAACUCGAAGAGUAGGGCGGGACACGUGGUAUCCUGUCUGAAUAUGGGGGGACCAUCCUCCAAGGCUAAAUACUCCUGACUGACCGAUAGUGAACCAGUACCGUGAGGGAAAGGCGAAAAGAACCCCGGCGAGGGGAGUGAAAAAGAACCUGAAACCGUGUACGUACAAGCAGUGGGAGCACCUUCGGGUGUGACUGCGUACCUUUUGUAUAAUGGGUCAGCGACUUAUAUUCUGUAGCAAGGUUAACCGUAUAGGGGAGCCGCAGGGAAACCGAGUCUUAACUGGGCGUUAAGUUGCAGGGUAUAGACCCGAAACCCGGUGAUCUAGCCAUGGGCAGGUUGAAGGUUGGGUAACACUAACUGGAGGACCGAACCGACUAAUGUUGAAAAAUUAGCGGAUGACUUGUGGCUGGGGGUGAAAGGCCAAUCAAACCGGGAGAUAGCUGGUUCUCCCCGAAAGCUAUUUAGGUAGCGCCUCGUGAAUUCAUCUUCGGGGGUAGAGCACUGUUUCGGCUAGGGGGUCAUCCCGACUUACCAACCCGAUGCAAACUACGAAUACCGAAGAAUGUUAUCACGGGAGACACACGGCGGGUGCUAACGUCCGUCGUGAAGAGGGAAACAACCCAGACCGCCAGCUAAGGUCCCAAAGUCAUGGUUAAGUGGGAAACGAUGUGGGAAGGCACAGACAGCCAGGAUGUUGGCUUAGAAGCAGCCAUCAUUUAAAGAAAGCGUAAUAGCUCACUGGUCGAGUCGGCCUGCGCGGAAGAUGUAACGGGGCUAAACCAUGCACCGAAGCUGCGGCAGCGACACUAUGUGUUGUUGGGUAGGGGAGCGUUCUGUAAGCCUGCGAAGGUGUGCUGUGAGGCAUGCUGGAGGUAUCAGAAGUGCGAAUGCUGACAUAAGUAACGAUAAAGCGGGUGAAAAGCCCGCUCGCCGGAAGACCAAGGGUUCCUGUCCAACGUUAAUCGGGGCAGGGUGAGUCGACCCCUAAGGCGAGGCCGAAAGGCGUAGUCGAUGGGAAACAGGUUAAUAUUCCUGUACUUGGUGUUACUGCGAAGGGGGGACGGAGAAGGCUAUGUUAGCCGGGCGACGGUUGUCCCGGUUUAAGCAUGUAGGCGGAGGUUCCAGGUAAAUCCGGUACCUUAUUAACGCUGAGGUGUGAUGACGAGGCACUACGGUGCUGAAGUAACAAAUGCCCUGCUUCCAGGAAAAGCCUCUAAGCAUCAGGUAACAUCAAAUCGUACCCCAAACCGACACAGGUGGUCAGGUAGAGAAUACCAAGGCGCUUGAGAGAACUCGGGUGAAGGAACUAGGCAAAAUGGUGCCGUAACUUCGGGAGAAGGCACGCUGGUGUGUAGGUGAAGUCCCUGCGGAUGGAGCUGAGACCAGUCGAAGAUACCAGCUGGCUGCAACUGUUUAUUAAAAACACAGCACUGUGCAAACACGAAAGUGGACGUAUACGGUGUGACGCCUGCCCGGUGCCGGAAGGUUAAUUGAUGGGGUUAUCCGUAAGGAGAAGCUCUUGAUCGAAGCCCCGGUAAACGGCGGCCGUAACUAUAACGGUCCUAAGGUAGCGAAAUUCCUUGUCGGGUAAGUUCCGACCUGCACGAAUGGCGUAAUGAUGGCCAGGCUGUCUCCACCCGAGACUCAGUGAAAUUGAACUCGCUGUGAAGAUGCAGUGUACCCGCGGCAAGACGGAAAGACCCCGUGAACCUUUACUAUAGCUUGACACUGAACAUUGAGCCUUGAUGUGUAGGAUAGGUGGGAGGCUUUGAAGCGUGGACGCCAGUCUGCGUGGAGCCAACCUUGAAAUACCACCCUUUAAUGUUUGAUGUUCUAACGUUGGCCCCUGACCGGGGUUGCGGACAGUGUCUGGUGGGUAGUUUGACUGGGGCGGUCUCCUCCCAAAGCGUAACGGAGGAGCACGAAGGUUAGCUAAUCCUGGUCGGACAUCAGGAGGUUAGUGCAAUGGCAUAAGCUAGCUUGACUGCGAGCGUGACGGCGCGAGCAGGUGCGAAAGCAGGUCAUAGUGAUCCGGUGGUUCUGAAUGGAAGGGCCAUCGCUCAACGGAUAAAAGGUACUCCGGGGAUAACAGGCUGAUACCGCCCAAGAGUUCAUAUCGACGGCGGUGUUUGGCACCUCGAUGUCGGCUCAUCACAUCCUGGGGCUGAAGUAGGUCCCAAGGGUAUGGCUGUUCGCCAUUUAAAGUGGUACGCGAGCUGGGUUUAGAACGUCGUGAGACAGUUCGGUCCCUAUCUGCCGUGGGCGCUGGAGAAUUGAGGGGGGCUGCUCCUAGUACGAGAGGACCGGAGUGGACGCAUCACUGGUGUUCGGGUUGUCAUGCCAAUGGCACUGCCCGGUAGCUAAAUGCGGAAGAGAUAAGUGCUGAAAGCAUCUAAGCACGAAACUUGCCCCGAGAUGAGUUCUCCCUGAGAUUUUAAGUCUCCUGAAGGAACGUUGAAGACGACGACGUUGAUAGGCCGGGUGUGUAAGCGCAGCGAUGCGUUGAGCUAACCGGUACUAAUGAACCGUGAGGCUUAACCU